rnacentral:rRNA from 1 species
GAUUAACGCUGGCGGCGUGCCUAAUACAUUCAAGUCGAACGAAGUGGCGCACGGGUGAGUAAUAUAUAGUUAAUCUGCCCUACACAGAGGAACAACAGUUGGAAACGACUGCUAAUACCGCAUAGUGUAGGAUGAGACUAUAUCGUAUCAGCUAGUUGGUAAGGUAAUGGCUUACCAAGGCUAUGACGCGUAACGGGUCUGAGAGGAUGAGCAGUCACAUUGGAACUGAGACACGGUCCAAACUCCUACGGGAGGCAGCAGUAAGGAAUAUUGCGCAAUGGGGGAAACCCUGACGCAGCAACGCCGCGUGGAGGAUGACACUUUUCGGAGCGUAAACUCCUUUUAUCAGGAAAGCGGUACCUGAUGAAUAAGCACCGGCUAACUCCGUGCCAGCAGCCGCGGUAAUAC